AGAUGCUAAGUCCAGUGACAACCUUAACGAAAGGUCAUAUAAUAGAACACGAUUUGGAGAAAUAUGUAGAUCUCAGCAUUCAGUGGAGUCGGUGGCUCCUAAAACCGUACGGGAUGUGGCCAAAUUUAUCUGACACUACACGGAUAGAUAAAUAUUUCAGUUGGAUCCUGAUUGUGAUAUGUUGCAUUAUAAUGAGUUUCUUCUGCGUACCAUGUACUUUGUACAUAUUCUUAGACGCAGAAGACGUCUACGACAGAAUCAAACACUUGGGCCCAUUGACUUUCUGUGUGACGGCGUAUAUGAAAUUCUACGCGGUAAUCGCUCGCGGAGAUGAUAUUCGCGAGUGCAUCGAGUGUAUCGAAAGAGACUGGUUCAACAUAAAGUACUCGGAGGACCGAAACAUUAUGAUAGCGAAAGCGAAUUACGGAAAGCGAAUUUCAAAAAUAUGCGCCCUUUUUAUGUACAGCGGUGCCGCUUUUUAUUAUAUUUUAAUACCAAUCAAAGUCGGCAAGAUCGAGAUAGAAGGCGAAAAUACUACCUUCAUUCCGAUUGCGAUGCCUUUCCCGAGACAAAUAUUCGAUACUCGUUACAGUCCGAUUAACGAGAUCGUAUUCGUAAUACAGGUUUUAGGAGGGUUCCUGAUGCACGCAGUUUCAGCUGGCGUUUGCAGCUUGAUAGCUACUUUCGCGCUCCACAUUUGUGGUCAAAUGGAAAUUCUAUCGUCCUGGCUUGAACAUUUGGUAGACGGUCGAUCAGACAUGUGUAAAACCGUGGAUGGUAGAAUUGGAAGCAUUGUGAAUCAACACGUUCGAAUAAUCAAAUAUUUGUCUCUCCUAGAGAAGACAAUGUCACGAAUAUCUCUCAUCGAAGUCGCGGGACGUACAUUAGACAUGUGCCUUGUGGGAUAUUAUGUUAUCAUGGAAUGGCAUUCGAAGAACAUGACCGCUACUGUAACGUAUACCAUAAUAUUUACAUCGGUUCUCUUCAAUAUCUUCAUAUUUUGUUAUAUAGGCGAACUCGUCGACGAACAGGACAUAAAAGAGAAAAGAGAUCUUGUAAUAGUGUGCAAUGAUUGGCGAAACGUCUUAUAUGAUCGAGUGGCAUCGAUUACCAAAGAGGAAGCAACUUAGCAUGAUCUUAAUAAUUGCGAUGUCUAAUGCCGCGUCAAAGCUCACAGCUGGAAGUGUCAUCAUGUUAUCCCUCGACAGUUUCAGUUCCGUUGUUAAAACAGCAUUCGCUUUUCUAAAUAUGUUGAGAACUGUGGCUGUGGCUUAAAAAUUGGAUUGUAUGUUACGAAAUUAGUAAGAGUGUUGUACUAUUCUAACAAGCAUUUUUAUCAUUGAUUAGAUUUAUUGGUUAAUUUGAAAUUAACGAGAAUGACAUUUUGGACAAUUCCUUAUUUUGUCGAUGAAUUUUCAAAGUUUUUAUUUUACUCAAUGUCUCUGCUGCACAAUG